rnacentral:rRNA from 1 species
UGGGGAAUAUUGCACAAUGGGCGCAAGCCUGAUGCAGCCAUGCCGCGUGUAUGAAGAAGGCCUUCGGGUUGUAAAGUACUUUCAGUCGGGAGGAAGGUGGUAAGGUUAAUAACCUUAUCAAUUGACGUUACCGACAGACGAAGCACCGGCUAACUCCGUGCCAGCAGCCGCGGUAAUACGGAGGGUGCAAGCGUUAAUCGGAAUUACUGGGCGUAAAGCGCACGCAGGCGGUUGAUUGAGUCAGAUGUGAAAUCCCCGGGCUUAACCCGGGAAUUGCAUCUGAUACUGGUCAGCUAGAGUCUUGUAGAGGGGGGUAGAAUUCCAUGUGUAGCGGUGAAAUGCGUAGAGAUGUGGAGGAAUACCGGUGGCGAAGGCGGCCCCCUGGACAAAGACUGACGCUCAGGUGCGAAAGCGUGGGGAGCAAACAGG